UCCUACGGGGGGCAGCAGUGAGGAAUAUUGGUCAAUGGCCGAGAGGCUGAACCAGCCAAGUCGCGUGAGGGAUGACGGCCCUACGGGUUGUAAACCUCUUUUGUCGGGGAGCAAGACCCGCCACGAGUGGCGGAGCGAGAGUACCCGAAGAAAAAGCGUCGGCUAACUCCGUGCCAGCAGCCGCGGUAAUACGGAGGAUGCGAGCGUUAUCCGGAUUUAUUGGGUUUAAAGGGUGCGCAGGCGGACCAUCAAGUCAGCGGUAAAAUCGUGGGGCCCAACCCCAUCCCUCCGAUGAAACUGGCGGU
rnacentral:rRNA from 1 species